rnacentral:rRNA from 1 species
GACGAACGCUGGCGGCGUGCUUAACACAUGCAAGUCGAGCGGUAAGGCCCUUUCGGGGGUACACGAGCGGCGAACGGGUGAGUAACACGUGGGUGACCUGCCCUCAGCUCUGGGAUAAGCCUGGGAAACUGGGUCUAAUACUGGAUAUGACUCCACGGUGCAUGUCGUGGGGUGGAAAGCCUUGUGCGGCUGAGGAUGGGCCCGCGGCCUAUCAGCUUGUUGGGGGGUGA